rnacentral:rRNA from 1 species
CCUACGGGGGGCAGCAGUGAGGAAUAUUGGUCAAUGGACGAGAGUCUGAACCAGCCAAGUAGCGUGAAGGAUGACUACCCUAUGGGUUGUAAACUUCUUUUAUAUGGGAAUAAAAUGUUCCACGUGUGGGAUUUUGUAUGUACCAUAUGAAUAAGGAUCGGCUAACUCCGUGCCAGCAGCCGCGGUAAUACGGAGGAUCCGAGCGUUAUCCGGAUUUAUUGGGUUUAAAGGGAGCGUAGGUGGAUUGUUAAGUCAGUUGUGAAAGUUUGCGGCUCAACCGUAAAAUUGCAGUUGAAACUGGCAGUCUUGAGUACAGUAGAGGUGGGCGGAAUUCGUGGUGUAGCGGUGAAAUGCUUAGAUAUCACGAAGAACUCCGAUUGCGAAGGCAGUUCACUGGACUGCAACUGACACUGAGGCUCGAAAGUGUGGGUAUCAAACAGGAUUAGAUACCCCAGUAGUC